UGCCUAACACAUGCAAGUCGAACGCGAAAGGGGAGCAAUCCCUGAGUAGAGUGGCAAACGGGUGAGUAACACGUGGGUGACCUGCCUUCGAGUGGGGGAUAACGUUCCGAAAGGAACGCUAAUACCGCAUGACAUCCUGCUUUUGGAGAAGCGGAGAUCAAAGCUGGGGAUUCGCAAGAACCUAGCGCUUGAAGAGGGGCCCGCGCCUGAUUAGCUAGUUGGUGGGGUAACGGCUCACCAAGGCUUCGAUCAGUAUCCGGCCUGAGAGGGCGGACGGACACACUGGGACUGAGACACGGCCCAGACUCCUACGGGAGGCAGCAGUGGGGAAUUGUUCGCAAUGGGCGCAAGCCUGACGACGCAACGCCGCGUGGAGGAUGAAGAUUUUCGGAUCGUAAACUCCUGUCGAGUGGGAAGAAUAGCUUCCGGGCGAAUAUCCCGGAAGUCUGACGGUACCA
rnacentral:rRNA from 1 species